rnacentral:tRNA from 1 species
GUUAAUGUAGCUUAAACAUCUAUAAAGCAAGACACUGAAAAUGUCUAGAUGGGCCCAACCAGCCCCAUUAGCA